GGCGUAAAGGACGCGUAGGCGGAUUAUCAAGUCUUUUGUGAAAUCUAACAGCUUAACUGUUAAACUGCUUGAGAAACUGAUAAUCUAGAGUGAGGGAGAGGCAGAUGGAAUUGGUGGUGUAGGGGUAAAAUCCGUAGAGAUCACCAGGAAUACCCAUUGCGAAGGCGAUCUGCUGGAACUCAACUGACGCUAAUGCGUGAAAGCGUGGGGAGCAAACAGGAUUAGAUACCCUGGUAGUCCACGCCCUAAACGAUGUAUACUAGUUGUUGCUGUGCUAGUCACGGCAGUAAUGCACCUAACGGAUUAAGUAUACCGCCUGGGGAGUACGGUCGCAAGAUUAAAACUCAAAGGAAUAGACGGGGACCCGCACAAGCGGUGGAGCAUGUGGUUUAAUUCGAAGAUACGCGAAGAACCUUACCUGGGCUUGAUAUCCAACUAAUCUCUUAGAGAUAA
rnacentral:rRNA from 1 species